rnacentral:rRNA from 1 species
AAUGAACGCUGGCGGCAUGCCUAACACAUGCCAGUCGAGCGGACGAAGGGGGCUUGCUCCUGGAUUCAGCGGCGGACGGGUGAGUAAUGCCUAGGAAUCUGCCUGGUAGUGGGGGAUGACGUCCGUAAACGGGCGCUAAUAUCGCAUCCGACCUGAUGUAGAAAGUGGGGGAUCUUCGGACCUCACGCUAUCUGAUGAGCCUAGGUCGGAUUAGCUAGUUGGUGAGGUAAAGGCCUACCAAGGCGACGAUCCGAAACUGGUCUGAGAGGAUGAUCAGUCACACUGGAACUGAGACACGGUCCAGACUCCUACGGGAGGCAGCAGUGGGGAAUAUUGGGCAAUGGGCGAAAGCCUGAUCCAGCAAUGCCGCGUGUGUGAUGAAGGUCUUCGGAUUGUAAAGCACUUUAAGUUGGGAGGAAGAGCAGUGAGUUAAUACCUUGCUGUUUUGACGGUACCAACAGAAUAAGCACCGGCUAACUUCGUG